rnacentral:rRNA from 1 species
AUUGAACGCUGGCGGCAGGCCUAACACAUGCAAGUCGAGCGGAUGAAGGGAUCUUGCUCCUGGAUUCAGCCGCGGACGGGUGAGGCGUGCCUAAGAAUCUGCCUACUAGUGGGGAAUAACGUCCGAAAUGGGUCACUACUACCGCAUACAUCCAUACGGCAAAAGGGUUGGAUCUUCGUACCUACGGCAAUCGAAUAACCCGAGUUCGGAUUGGCUGGUUGGUGGGGUAAAGGCCCACCAAGCCGACGAUCCGAAACUGGUUUGAGGGGAUGAUCAGACACACUGGAACUGAGACACGGUCCAGACUCCUACGGGAGGCAGCAGUGGGGAAUAUUGGACAAUGGGAGAAAGCCUGAUCCAGCCAUGCCGCGUGUGUGAAGAAGGGCUUCGGCUUGUAAAGCACUUUUGGUUGGAAAGAAGAGCAGUAAGUUAAUACCUUGCUGUUUUGACGGUACCAAAAGAAUAAGCACCGGCUAACUUCGUG